rnacentral:rRNA from 1 species
AAUGAACGCUGGCGGCAGGCCUAACACAUGCAAGUCGAGCGAGCAUUUCGGUGCUAGCGGCGGACGGGUGAGUAACGCGUGGGAACGUGCCCUUUUCUGCGGAAUAGUCCUGGGAAACUGGGGGUAAUACCGCAUACGCCCUUUUGGGGAAAGAUUUAUCGGAGAAGGAUCGGCCCGCGUUGGAUUAGGUAGUUGGUGGGGUAAUGGCCCACCAAGCCGACGAUCCAUAGCUGGUUUGAGAGGAUGCUCAGCCACACUGGGGCUGAGACACGGCCCAGACUCCUACGGGAGGCAGCAGUGGGGAAUCUUAGACAAUGGGGGCAACCCUGAUCUAGCCAUGCCGCGUGAGUGAUGAAGGCCUUAGGGUUGUAAAGCUCUUUCAGCUGGGAAGAUAAUGACGGUACCAGCAGAAGAAGCCCCGGCUAACUCCGUG